AGUUAAAACGCCCGUAGUCUGAAUUGGCCAGCAAUGGUCGUACGUAUUUUUACGUUCACUGUGAACAAAUCAGGACGCUUAGAGUAUGGCCACAUGAAUGACUCAGCGCAGUAUGAAGUCUUUGUUUUCUUCCUGAAAACAAGCUCAAUGAGAGCCAUCGGGGGUAGAUCUAUCUCAUGACGAGUGGUGGAAUACUUUGACUCAUGAGAGAGAAGCUGAGGCGAAGGCGUCUACCUAGAGGGUUUCUGUCGAUCAAGGGCGAGAGUAGGAGUAUCCAACAGGAUUAGAGACCCUGGUAGUUCCUACCUUAAACGAUGCCGACAGGAGUUUGUCAUUUGUUAAUGGCAGAAUCUUUGGAGAAAUCAUAGUUCUUGGGCUCUGGGGGAACUACGACCGCAAGGCUGAAACUUGAAGGAAUUGACGGAAGGGCACACCAGGGGUGGAGCCUGUGGCUUAAUUUGAAUCAACACGGGGAAACUUACCAGGACCAGAUGUUUUUUAUGACUGACAGGCUUCGGGUCUUUCAGGAUAUUGUUUUUGGUGGUGCAUGGCCGUUGGUGGUGCGUGGGUUGACCUGUCUAGCGUUGAUUCAGCUAACGAGCGAGAUUAUCGCCAAUUAUUUACUUUGCCGAAGUCCUUCGGUUAAAGUUCUAAUUGGGACUCCCUGCGAUUUUAGCAGGUGGAAGAGGGUAGCAAUAACAGGUCCGUGAUGCCCUUUAGAUGCUCUGGGCUGCACGCGUGCUACAAUGUUAGGAUCAAUAGGACUGCGAGCCUGAGAGGGUGCGCUACUCUUAUAAUCCCUAACGUAGUUGGGAUUGACGUUUGUAAUCAGCGUCAUGAACCAGGAAUCCCUUGUAAAUGUGUGUCAACAACGCACGUUGAAUACGUCCCUGCCCUUUGUACACACCGCCCGUCGCUCCUACCGAUUGGAUGACUCGGUGAAAUCACCGGAUGCUUACGAGCAGAAAGUGAUUAAAUCACGUUAUCUAGAGGAAGGAGAAGUCGUAACAAGGUAACGGUAGGUGAACCUGCCGUUGGAUC
rnacentral:rRNA from 1 species